UAUUGUUAUCACUAUCAGGAGAAUUAGAAAUUCACUCUUUUAAUGUUCAAAAGCCAUAAACCCCACCACUUUUCUAAUCUUAAUUUCUUUCACCGCUAAAGCCUUCCACGAGAAGCACCUCCAUCCGUUGCCGUUGGACCCAAUUUCCUCCUCUAAGCAGUCUUCAGAUAUCAUCACGUUGGAGUAUCCGUGGACGUCGUGAGGCCAAAAUUCAUCAAUGUCGUAGAGAUGUGUCCACCCAUCCGUCAAGCAGCUGCAUCGUGAGGUGCUCCUAAUUUGUCGGCGAUAACCUUCCUCCUGCUGCCAUAUAAGUGAUACCCUUGGUGGUACCCAGUUUAAAAAGAUGCCCAGGAUAGGUCGUUACACGAAGAAAUCAAAGUUAGACUCAGCAUGUCAGUAAUCUCAAAUAGGAUCCGCUGCAGCUUCAUCCGUGUCCCAAGUGGAUGGCCUAAUUCUCCCCUCCGGUGGUAAUAGUGCCCCCGCAAUCUCAUCUUUAUGCCAUGGAUCUGAAAACUGAAUCGGACCGGCCAGUUGAACCGGUUCACCUGGGAACCGACAGUGCAAGCGGUCUGGUUCUCUCCUUAUAACCGUUCGAAGAAAAAUCGGUGGAAAAUCGGCGAACCGACCGAGAACUGGUCGGUUGGGCUGGACCGGUAACUGACCGGUUCGGAAAAAAUGGCGCCAUUUUUAAACUUGUAAAAAAAAGAAGAAACGAAUCCACCAAUCCAGUGAUCCCUAUCGUCGCUGCCUAACCCAGCUCCUCUUCGGCUCUUCAUCUUCGCUGGCUUCUCGGCACGGACCCAGCCGAAGAAAUUGGAGGGGCUGGAUGAGGAGACAUUGAUGCCUCAGAAGACACCACCACCAUCAACAUACCCUUGUUACUUGAAGGUUUUUUUAGCAUAAUAGUUGAAAUCACAAUCAUAAUUACAUAAUAUGUUUAAAUAAUUAUCCCAAAAAAAAACUCACAAGAACAUCUUGAGGUUUUGAU